rnacentral:rRNA from 1 species
UACGUAGGGGGCAAGCGUUGUCCGGAUUCAUUGGGCGUAAAGAGCGUGUAGGCGGCCAGGUAGGUCGGUUGUGAAAACUGGGAGGCUCAACCUUCAGAGGUCGACCGAAACCAUCUGGCUAGAGUCCGGGAGAGGAGAGUGGAAUCCUGGUGUAGCGGUGAAAUGCGCAGAUAUCAGGAGGAACACCGAUGGCGAAGGCAGGUCUCUGGGCCGAUACUGACGUGAGGAGCGAAAGCGUGGGGAGCGAACAGG